rnacentral:tRNA from 1 species
GGCGCAAUAGCCAAGUGGAGACGCGGCAGACUCUAAAUCUGUUCCCUUCAGCGGGCGUAGGCUUGAAACCUACUGGCGUCA